rnacentral:antisense_RNA from 1 species
CCUAUGGGCGGGCCGUGUGGGGGGCCGAAAGGCCCGCCAGAUCCUGUACCUGGUACGCCAACCCGCACGGUUCCGCCCCCCCG